rnacentral:rRNA from 1 species
CACGAAUGGAGGAAACUCUGAUGCAGCGACGCCGCGUGAACGAUGAAGGCCUUCGGGUCGUAAAGUUCUGUCCUAGGGGACGAUAAUGACGGUACCCUAGGAGGAAGCCCCGGCUAACUACGUGCCAGCAGCCGCGGUAAUACGUAGGGGGCGAGCGUUGUCCGGAUUUAUUGGGCGUAAAGGGUUCGCAGGUGGUCCUUUAAGUCAGAUGUGAAAGCCCACGGCUCAACCGUGGUAAGCAUUUGAAACUGGAGGACUUGAGUUAAGGAGAGGAAAGUGGAAUUCCUAGUGUAGCGGUGAAAUGCGUAGAUGUUAGGAGGAAUACCAGUGGCGAAGGCGACUUUCUGGACUUAUACUGACACUGAGGAACGAAAGCGUGGGGAGCAAACAGGAUUAGAUACCCUGGUAGUCCACGCCGUAAACGAUGAGUGCUAGGUGUCGGGGGUCAAACCUCGGUGCCGCAGCUAACGCAUUAAGCACUCCGCCUGGGGAGUACGUACGCAAGUAUG